rnacentral:rRNA from 1 species
UACGAAGGGGACUAGCGUUGUUCGGAAUCACUGGGCGUAAAGCGCACGUAGGUGGAUUUGUAAGUCAGGGGUGAAAUCCCAGAGCUCAACUCUGGAACUGCCUUUGAUACUGGCGACCUAGAGUUCGGAAGAGGUUAGUGGAAUUCCCAGUGUAGAGGGUGAAAUUCGUAGAUAUUGGGAAGAACACCGGAGGCGAAGGCGGCUUGCUGGGCGUGAUCUGACGCUGAGGCGCGAAAGCGUGGGGAGCGAACAGG